UUGGAUACAUUAUUGUGUUGGUCAGGAUUAUGAUUUAGAUCAAACGUUGCAACAUGAGGUCACAUCUCUAUUACGGGUAUUCCAGAAAUGGAAAUUGCUACAAAUUGGUGAAGAAUUAUAUGUCUAAAAGGUAGACGUAAAUUACGAAACCUCUUGAAGAAGAAAAAUGCACUUUAUCAUUUGAUAAGUGCAAGACCUGUUCAAAAUAUGCAGUAACUUGAGUCUUGUAACAUGUCCGAAGGUAUGUUAAAGGCAAAUAUGAUGAUAACUUCAAUUACCAGCUGUACAAGGUAAUUCCAAUUGUGCACCAUUUUAGCAGCAGCAGGUGUUCAUCGUAGACAUCACCUAAAUUAAUAUAUUAGAAAAAACUUUAUUCCUACUCAUGGUUUGUACAACUUCUACAAUUAGAAGGCCAGAAACAAACGAGAUGAGAUAAUAAAUGUG
rnacentral:lncRNA from 1 species